rnacentral:rRNA from 1 species
CCUACGGGAGGCAGCAGUGAGGAAUAUUGGUCAAUGGCCGAGAGGCUGAACCAGCCAAGUCGCGUGAGGGAAGAAGGCCCUACGGGUGGUAAACCUCGUUUGUCGGGGAGCAAAGCGAACCACGUGUGGGUCAUUGAGAGGACCCGAAGAAAAAGCAUCGGCUAACUCCGUGCCAGCAGCCGCGGUAAUACGGAGGAUGCGCGCGUUAUCCGGAUUUAUUGGGGUUACAGGGUGCGCAGGCGGAGGGGCAAGUCAGCGGUCCAAUUGCUGGGCUCAACCCCGUACUGCCGUUGCAACGGCGUCCCUUGCGUGCGCGCGAAGUAUGCGGCAUGCGUGGUGUCGCGGU